GAGUUUGAUCCUGGCUCAGGACGAACGCUGGCGGCGUGCCUAACACAUGCAAGUCGAACGGAGAACUCAAAAAGCUUGCUUUGAGAGUUCUUAGUGGCGGACGGGUGAGUAACGCGUGGGCAACCUCCCCCUUAAACCGGGACAACCCUUGGAAACGAGGGCUAAUACCGGAUACACUUUUCUGAGGACAUCCUCGGGAAAGGAAAGGCGGCCUCUGAAGAUGCUGCCGAUAAGGGAUGGACCAGCGUCUGAUUAGCUGGUUGGUGGGGUAAAGGCCUACCAAGGCGACGAUCAGUAGCCGGCCUGAGAGGGUGAACGGCCACACUGGGAUUGAGACACGGCCCAGACUCCUACGGGAGGCAGCAGUGGGGGAAUCUUCCGCAAUGGACGAAAGUCUGACGGAGCAACGCCGCGUGUAUGACGAAGGCCUCGGUUGUAAGU
rnacentral:rRNA from 1 species